UACGUAGGGGGCAAGCGUUGUCCGGAAUCAUUGGGCGUAAAGCGCGCGUAGGCGGCCCUGUAAGUCCGCUGUAAAAGUCAAAGGCUCAACCUUUGAAAGCGGGUGGAUACUGCAGGGCUAGAGUCCGGAAGAGGCGAGUGGAAUUCCUGGUGUAGCGGUGGAAUGCGCAGAUAUCAGGAGGAACACCAAUAGCGAAGGCAGCUCGCUGGGACGGUACUGACGCUAAGGCGCGAAAGCGUGGGGAGCGAACAGG
rnacentral:rRNA from 1 species